rnacentral:rRNA from 1 species
CGGAGGGUGCAAGCGUUAUCCGGAUUUACUGGGUUUAAAGGGUGCGUAGGUGGGUAGGAAAGUCAGUGGUGAAAUCUUCGGGCUUAACCCGGAAACUGCCAUUGAUACUAUUUAUCUUGAAUACUCUGGAGGUAAGCGGAAUAUGUCAUGUAGCGGUGAAAUGCUUAGAUAUGACAUAGAACACCAAUUGCGAAGGCAGCUUACUACAUAGUUAUUGACACUGAGGCACGAAAGCGUGGGGAUCAAACAGGAUUAGAUACCCUGGUAGUCCACGCCCUAAACGAUGGAUACUCGACAUUAGCGAUACACUGUUAGUGUCUGAGCGAAAGCAUUAAGUAUCCCACCUGGGAAGUACGAUCGCAAGAUUG